UACAUGGGGUGCAAACGUUGCUCGGAAUUAUUGGGCGUAAAGCGCGCGUAGGCGGUUACUUAAGUCGGAUGUGAAAGCCCUCGGCUUAACUGAGGAAGUGCACCCGAAACUGAGUAGCUAGAGUACGAAAGAGGGUCGCGGAAUUCCCGGUGUAGAGGUGAAAUUCGUAGAUAUCGGGAGGAACACCGGUGGCGAAGGCGGCGACCUGGGUCGAGACUGACGCUGAGGCGCGAAAGCGGGGGGAGCAAACAGG
rnacentral:rRNA from 1 species